GACGAACGCUGGCGGCGUGCUUAACACAUGCAAGUCGAACGGUAAGGCUCCAGCUUGCUGGGGUACACGAGUGGCGAACGGGUGAGUAACACGUGGGUGACCUGCCCUGCACUUCGGGAUAAGCCUUGGAAACUGGGUCUAAUACCGGAUAGGACCAUGGUGUGGAUACUGUGGUGGAAAGUUUUUUCGGUGUGGGAUGGGCCCGCGGCCUAUCAGCUUGUUGGUGGGGUAAUGGCCUACCAAGGCGGCGACGGGUAGCCGGCCUGAGAGGGUGGACGGCCACAUUGGGACCGAGACACGGCCCAGACUCCUACGGGAGGCAGCAGUGGGGAAUAUUGCACAAUGGGCGGAAGCCUGAUGCAGCGACGCCGCGUGGGGGAUGACGGCCUUCGGGUUGUAAACUCCUUUCACCAUCGACGAAGGGUUUCUGACGGUAGAUGGAGAAGAAGCACCGGCUAACUACGUG
rnacentral:rRNA from 1 species